rnacentral:rRNA from 1 species
GGUAGUAGCAAAUACUCCAGCGAGGCCCUGGAGGACUGAUGUGGAGAAGGGUUUCUUGUGAACAGCUGUUGCACAAGAGUCAGUCGAUCCUAAGCCCUAGGAGAAAUCCGAAGCGAUAUGCGCCCGUUAAAUAAUUUUUUUUUAUUAAAUGUUUGGCGCUAUCUGGGCGAAAGGGAAUCCGGUUCCUAUUCCGGAACCCGGCAGCGGAACCGUUCCAAAUCGGGCUCUCAUUUGAGAACUCGUCGGGGUAACCCGACAAGACCCGGAGACGCCGUAGGGAAAUUCGGAGAGAGUUGUCUCUUCUCUAUAAGCGUUCGAGUUCCCUGGAAACCUCUAGCAGGGAGAUAGGGUUUGGAACGCGAAGAGCACCGCAGUUACGGCGGUGUCCGGAUCUUCCCUACGGACCUUGAAAAUCCGGGAGAGAGCCACGAGGAACCCCGCGCCGGCUCGUACCCAUAUCCGCAGCAGGUCUCCAAGGUCAAUAGCCUCUAGUC